rnacentral:rRNA from 1 species
UACGGGGGGGGCAAGCGUCGUUCGGAAUUACUGGGCGUAAAGGGCUCGUAGGCGGCCAACUAAGUCGGAUGUGAAAUCCCCAGGCUUAACCUGGGAACUGCAUCCGAUACUGGAUGGCUUGAAUCCGGGAGAGGGAUGCAGAAUUCCAGGUGUAGCGGUGAAAUGCGUAGAUAUCUGGAGGAAUACCGGUGGCGAAGGCGGCAUCCUGGACCGACAUUGACGCUGAACGGCGAAAGCUAGGGGAGCAAACGGG